AUUGAACGCUGGCGGCAUGCUUUACACAUGCAAGUCGAACGGCAGCGCGGGAGCAAUCCUGGCGGCGAGUGGCGAACGGGUGAGUAAUAUAUCGGAACGUGCCCAGUAGUGGGGGAUAGCCCGGCGAAAGCCGGAUUAAUACCGCAUACGACCUACGGGUGAAAGGGGGGGAUCGCAAGACCUCUCGCUCUUGGAGCGGCCGAUAUCAGAUUAGGUAGUUGGUGGGGUAAAGGCCUACCAAGCCUGCGAUCUGUAGUUGGUCUGAGAGGACGACCAGCCACACUGGGACUGAGACACGGCCCAGACUCCUACGGGAGGCAGCAGUGGGGAAUUUUGGACAAUGGGCGCAAGCCUGAUCCAGCAAUGCCGCGUGCAGGAAGAAGGCCUUCGGGUUGUAAACUGCUUUUGUCAGGGAAGAAAUCCUCUAGGCUAAUACCUUGGGGGGAUGACGGUACCUGAAGAAUAAGCUCCGGCUAACUUCGUGCCAGCCGCCGCAGUAACAC
rnacentral:rRNA from 1 species